AUUGGAAUUGUGCUUUAGUGUUUAUCUCCAACCGACCCCCAGCUACUCCUUCUUUGUACUGGUGUAGGAGAGAAGGGUGCUUGCCUUGUGGAUCUUGGAGAAAUCUUGGAAGUGUAGAAAGGAGUGUUUUUGAGGGUCUAACUCCAACCCUAUCUCAAGUUUAGCUUGGUUUGGAGCUCUUUUAAAGGUUGGAAUUGAAGCAUCUCAAUCUCAAUUGGAGUUUUGGGAAGAGUUUUCUUGAUUUAAACUAUUUUUUACCUAUUUUUGGUAUGAUUUUUGGGGAUUUUCAUGGGAAGCUUGUUAGAAGCUCCUAACCCAUUUAGAAUUUUUGUUAGGGUGCUAGAAGAUUUGAGGACAACUUCGUUCAAGCAAACGAAGGAGUUCGAGGGGUAUCCGAGGCAUUCACAGCAGGAGAGGCUAAAGAUCGCUGCAAGGGAGUCGCGUCUAGCUAGAGCUAGUUUGGAGUUUCCGCUAGGUGGACACCUUUCCUUUUGGUAGAUGGAGGGGUGUAUUUGUCCAUGAUGUGUAUAGAAACCAUCAUGUGCAUUUAGUUUCAUAUUUUGGUUACCUUGAUAUUUGUAUUUUGGUGAUUGUUGAUAUUAGUUAAUUUUUUUUCUUUUUACUUUCUAUUAGAGAGUUGUUUAUUAUGUAUGCUCUGAUAUCAUGUUAGAUUUAUCUUUCCUCGUAUUAUUUCUAACAUAUUUAUUGUAAAUACCUUGUUUGCAACGGGGGAUACCUUGUGCAUACGGCGGGUCUCUAUACGUGCUGGGUAAACUUUUGCUGGGGCACGGACGUGACACAUUGGUUCUUGAAUAAAAAAUAUGUAACAUUUACACUUA